UACAGAGGGUGCAAGCGUUAAUCGGAAUGACUGGGCGUAAAGGGCGCGUAGGCGGUUAGAUAAAUGAGUGGUGAAAGCUCUGGGCUUAACCUGGAGAAGAAUAUUCAGACUGUCUGACUAGAGUACAGGAGAGGAGAGUGGAAUUUCUGGAGUAGCGGUAGAAUGCGUAGAGAUCAGAAAGAACACCGGAGGCGAAAGCGGCUCUCUGGACUGUAACUGACGCUGAAGUGCGAAAGCGUGGGGAGCAAAC
rnacentral:rRNA from 1 species